rnacentral:tmRNA from 1 species
GGGGGUGAACGGCUUCGACAGAAUUGUACCUUCCCCGUGCAAGCCGAGUUCUGGGAACUCGUAAAACAACCAGAGCAUCAUACAUGCUAACGUAUUUUCCCCUCAGCGGGAACUCGCCUACGCGUAAUUUCGUGGGCCAUCCGAUCCCUCAUUCUCAAUAGGGGAACCCGGGUGUCAAUUAUUGAGAUUGGGUAAACGCCCUUCUUAAUUCCAAGGGCGCUACCGACACCAAAAGGAAUUAGAGGUACAGGAUCUUUGCCUCGUGAGAAUAUCCUGUUUCCUUAUCUUUUCACGAGGCUACGCUUGAAGAGUCGGGAUAAGGGAAUGUUCUGCACACGGGUUCAAUUCCCGUCACCUCCACAC